rnacentral:rRNA from 1 species
GUGCCAGCAGCCGCGGUAAUACGUAGGUGGCAAGCGUUGUCCGGAUUUACUUGGCGUAAAGAGCGCGCAGGCGGUCUUUUAAGUCGAAUGUGAAAGCCCCCGGCUCAACUGGGGAGGGUCAUUCGAUACUGAUCGACUUGAAGGCAGGAGAGGGUAGUGGAAUUCCCGGUGUAGUGGUGAAAUGCGUAGAUAUCGGGAGGAACACCAGUGGCGAAGGCGGCUCACUGGCUCGUUUCUGACGCUCAGGCGCGACAGCGUGGGGAUCAAACAGGAUUAGAUACCCUGGUAGUCCACGCCGUAAACGAUGAACGCUAGCCGUUGGGUAGCUUGCUAUUCAGUGGCGCAGCUAACGCAUUAAGCGUUCCGCCUGGGGAGUACGGCCGCAAGGUUGAAACUCAAGGGAAUUGACGG